rnacentral:rRNA from 1 species
AGGAGUCUAGCAUGUGCGCGAGUCAUUGGGACAUUGAUAAACCUAAAGGCGCAAUGAAAGUGAAGGUCCGCCUUGCGCGGACCGAGGGAGGAUGGGCCCGUCCACGGGCGGGCCCCGCACUCCCGGGGCGUCUCGUUCUCAUCGCGAGAAGAGGCGCACCCAGAGCGUACACGCUGGGACCCGAAAGAUGGUGAACUAUGCCUGGUCAGGACGAAGUCAGGGGAAACCCUGAUGGAGGUCCGUAGCGAUUCUGACGUGCAAAUCGAUCGUCGGAACUGGGUAUAGGGGCGAAAGACU